UACGUAGGGUGCUAGCGUUGUUCGGAAUUACUGGGCGUAAAGCGCACGUAGGCGGACAUUUAAGUCAGGGGUGAAAUCCCAGAGCUCAACUCUGGAACUGCCUUUGAUACUGGGUGUCUUGAGUAUGGAAGAGGUGAGUGGAAUUCCGAGUGUAGAGGUGAAAUUCGUAGAUAUUCGGAGGAACACCAGUGGCGAAGGCGGCUCACUGGUCCAUUACUGACGCUGAGGUGCGAAAGCGUGGGGAGCAAAACAGG
rnacentral:rRNA from 1 species